CCUACGGGUGGCAGCAGUGGGGGAUAUUGCACAAUGGGGGAAACCCUGAUGCAGCGACGCCGCGUGGGUGAAGAAGCGCCUCGGCGCGUAAAGCCCUGUCAGCAGGGAAGAAAAUGACGGUACCUGAAGAAGAAGCCCCGGCUAACUCCGUUCCAGCAGCCGCGGUAAUACGUGGGGGGCAAGCGUUAUCCGGGUUUACUGGGUGGAAAGGGGGCGCAGGCGGCGGUGCAAGCCAGGAGUGAAAGGCCGGGGCCCAACCCCGGGACUGCCCUUGGAACUGCGUGGCUGGAGUGCAGGAGGGGCAGGCGGAAUUCCUGGUGUAGCGGUGAAAUGCGUAGAUAUCAGGAGGAACACCGGUGGCGAAGGCGGCCUGCUGGACUGCAACUGACGUUGAGGCCCGAAAGCGUGGGGAGCAAACAGGAUUAGAUACCCCAGUAGUC
rnacentral:rRNA from 1 species